UGGGACCGGUGGGGGCGGGGAGGGGGCGGGGCCGGAGCCGGGGCGGGGCCGAGGCCGCAGCUUCCAGCCGGUACCACCUCCCCUCCACUGAGAGCUUCCACCGCUCCCUGGGCUGUCAGGCGCGGUGGCCAAGUGGUAAGGCGUCGGUCUCGUAAACCGAAGAUCGCGGGUUCGAACCCCGUCCGUGCCUGAGGCCUGGGGUUUUAGAGUGUGGCUGUGGGAAGUCGGUUUUCUCCACGUACGCCGUCCCUUCUUCUACGUGGCAUUUUUUCCAUUUUCGGAUUCUGUUCAGACGCCCUCCAGUUCCUCUCCUGCCCCGGGCUCUAUAGUCUGCCGGGACCAGUGCCCCUGGGCUUCGAGACUCCAGGUUCCACCUUGCCGAUGAGCUCGACCCUCGCCGCAGGUCCCCGCGUUUCCUUUCCUCCGGCCACACUUCGCAGAGCGGGAGUCCUCUUCACUGAGACUUGGGUCUCGCCCGAUUUGCUCGUGUUAUGGCGGGGCAACUUUCCAGAGAGGGUGCUUGAGUUUCCGGAACGGUGGUUUCUGGAUUGUUCCUUGGAAGGUUUCUACCUCAGAGCCUGUAUCUUGCAGGAGCAAGGGGAUCACAGGCCACCCACCAUCAUAGCAGCACCUUCUGCAAUGGGACUUGACCCUUGAGACCUCAUGAUGAGCUCUGUGUGACCGGGGUUCCUCCAUCCAGAGUUAUAAGUAGUCCUCCCUAAUGGGAAGGGCUAAAGCUGCAAAGCCUCUACCCCUGCUGGUUGCCCCAGGUAGAGUCCUCCCUUUUGCUCCUCCCCAGUGUCCAGAGCAAAACACAGGGCCUCUGGUACUGCAUUUUGAGAGCCAUGCAGGCAGACACAGUCAUUUGUGGGCAGCUAAAACCCCAGGAUAUUUUUUAAAACAUAGACCAGAAUUUGGCAAUUAUAUAUAUUACGCCUCAUGCUAUGAGUUUUAGCUCAAUAUUCCAGCCUGGAGAAAUAUGUUUUUAAAUCCUUUACUCUACAAUAAAACACAGAUUCGAGGGCCGGGCGCGGUGACU
rnacentral:lncRNA from 13 species